rnacentral:tRNA from 1 species
GGAGAGGUCGCAUAGCUGGUCUAGUGCGCCACACUCGAAAUGUGGUAUGCCGCAAGGCAUCGAGGGUUCGAAUCCCUCCCUCUCCGCCA